rnacentral:rRNA from 1 species
AGUGAACGCUGGCGGUAGGCCUAACACAUGCCAGUCGAACGGCAGCACAGUAAGCGCUUGCUCUUACGGGUGGCGAGUGGCGGACGGGUGAGGAAUACAUCGGAAUCUACUUUUUCGUGGGGGAUAACGUAGGGAAACUUACGCUAAUACCGCAUACGACCUACGGGUGAAAGCAGGGGAUCUUCGGACCUUGCGCGAUUGAAUGAGCCGAUGUCGGAUUAGCUAGUUGGCGGGGUAAAGGCCCACCAAGGCGACGAUCCGUAGCUGGUCUGAGAGGAUGAUCAGCCACACUGGAACUGAGACACGGCCCAGACUCCUACGGGAGGCAGCAGUGGGGAAUAUUGGACAAGGGGCGCAAGCCUGAUCCAGCCAUACCGCGUGGGUGAAGAAGGCCUUCGGGUUGUAAAGCCCUUUUGUUGGGAAAGAAAAGCAGCAGGUUAAUACCCCGCUGUUCUGACGGUACCCAAAGAAUAAGCACCGGCUAACUUCGUG